CAGAACUCCCAGUUAAGUUUGAAUUUCAGAUAAACAAUGAAAAAUUUUUAGAUAAAUACAUCCCAUGCAAUUUUUGGGACAUACUUAUAGUAAAAAAAGUUACGUUUAUCUGAAAUUCAAAUGUAACUGGAUGUCCUAUA
rnacentral:miRNA from 1 species